rnacentral:lncRNA from 1 species
AUGUCCCCAUUCUACCUGUCCCCCCCCAUCCAUGUCCCUAUUCUCUUACCAUCCCAUCCUACCUGUGUCCCCAACCCUUUCCAUGUCCCAUCCAUGUCCCCAUCCCAAUCCUUUCCUAACCCAUCCACAUCCCCAUCCAUGUCCCCAUCCCAUCCAUGUCCUCAUCCCCAUCCAUGUCCCAUCCCACUCCCAUCCACGUCCCUGUCCCCAUCUUUCCCUAUCCACAUCCCACCCCCACCUUUAUCUUUGUCCCCAUCCACAUCCUUGUCCUCAUCCAUGUCCCCAUCCCUGUUCCCACUCUUAUCCUAUCCCCAUUCCCUGUCCCUUCUCCAAUCCCAUCCCCGUCCCUGUCCCAUCCCCGUCCCUACUCCAAUCCCAUCCCCAUCCCCACUCUUAUCCCAUAUCUGUCCCCACUUCUAUGUCUGUCCCAUCCCCGUCCCCACUACCAUCCCAUCCCCAUCCCUGUCCCCACUCCUGUCCAAUCCCCAUCCAUAUCCCUAUCCCAUCCCUGUCCCCAUUCCUAUCCCACCCCCAUCCAUGUCCCCACUCCUAUCCCAUCCCCAUCCCCACUUCUAUCCCAUCCCCAUUCUUACCCCAUCCCUGUCCCCACUCCUGUCCAAACCCCAUCCCCAUCCCCGUCCCAUCCCUGUCUCCAUUCCUAUCCCAUCCCUAUCCCCAAUCCUAUCUCACCCCCAUCCCCACUCCUAUCCCAUCCCCAUCCCUGUCCCCACUUCUAUCUCACCCCAUCCCCAUCCCUGUCCCAUCCCCGUCUCCAUUCCUAUCCCAUCCCUGUCCCUACUCCUAUCCCUUCUCCAUCCCUGUCCCAUCCCCAUCCCUGUCCCUAACUCCUAUCCCAUCCCCAUCCCCAUUCUUAACCCAUCCCUGUCCCCACUCCUGACCAAACCCCAUCCCCAUCCCUGUCCCCACUCCUAUCUCACCCCAUCCCCAUCCCCAUCCCUAUCCCAUCCCCAUCCCUACUCCCAUCCCAUCCCCAUCCCUAUCCCAUCCCCAUCCCCAUCCCCACUCCUAUCUCACCCCAUCCCCAUCCAUGUCCCAUCCCUGUCCCCACUCCCGUCCCAUCCCCAUCCAUGUCCCUGUCCCAUCCCUGUCCCCACUUCUAUCUCACCUCAUCCCCAUCCCUGUCCAAUCCCCACUUCUAUCUCACCCCAUCCCUGUCCCAUCCCCAUCCCUGUCCCCACUCCUAUCCCACCCCAUCCCCAUCCCCCACACUCCCACCCCCCCAUUUCCCCCCCCCAUCUCACGGUGCAUCUGGGGCAGAGCCAUUCCCCGUUGGGGACCUCAGGCAGGGGCGGGUUGAGGCAGUGGAUGUGGUAUGAGGAGAUGCAGGCGUCGCAGCAGAGCAGCUCCCCGCCGUCCUUGCACACGCGGCAGUACUCCAUGUGA